AGUGUCUUCCAUGCACACAAUGUCAGAGAGUGUCGAGGACGCAUGGACGUGACAGAAAAGGAGGCUGGUAUUGUACUGUAUGCCUAGUGCUAUAUUCAUUCACAUUAGAGCCAAAGAUACAUUUGCCAAGGCAAGAUGGACAACAACAGGUUGUCAUCCGAAGCGGAUAGAACCUUACUCGACUGUACAGGUGCCAGAAUCUCUGGCUGUUGGUCUCUGAGGUCCGACUCCAGCGGGAGCGGAGAGGACUCUUUGGACCGGCUCCUGCCCCCCGCAGGUGCACCCCGCAGAAAGAGCACUACUUCGCUGAGUAAAACAGAGCCCCCCUUGCUUCGCACAGGCACCCGCACAAUCUACACCGCUGGCCGACCUCCCUGGUACGAUGAGCAUGGAGCGCAGUCCAAAGAGGCCUUUGUCAUCGGGUUAUGUGGGGGCAGUGCCUCAGGGAAGACGACCGUAGCCAAUAAAAUCAUUGAGGCUCUCGAUGUGCCCUGGGUGGUGCUACUGUCCAUGGAUUCCUUCUACAAGGAUUUAUAUCCUGAGGAACAAGCCUUGGCCGCAAGUAACGAUUACAACUUCGAUCAUCCGGGAGCCUUCGACUUUGAGCUGCUGGUUGCCACCCUGCGGAAGCUGAAGCAAGGAAAAAGUGUGAAAAUUCCUGUGUAUGACUUCACCACCCACAGACGACAAAAAGACUGGAAGAACGUAUAUGGUGCAAGUGUAAUUAUAUGUGAAGGAAUCAUGGCUUUUGCAGAUAAAGAUCUUCUUCAGCUCCUGGACAUGAAAAUCUUUGUGGACACAGAUUCAGACAUCCGACUGGUCCGUCGCCUCCGUAGGGAUAUCACGGAGCGCAUGCGGGACAUCGAAGGUGUCAUCAAGCAAUACAACAAGUUUGUAAAGCCCGCCUUUGAGCAGUACAUCGAGCCAGCCAUGAGACUGGCGGACAUUGUUGUGCCACGAGGUGGCUGCAAUAUGGUGGCCAUCGAUCUGAUAGUCCAGCAUGUGCACAGUCAACUGGAGGAGCGUGAGCUCAGUGUCAGGGCGCUUCUAGCAUCCGCUCAGCAGACACAACCACUGCCACAGACGCUCAGUGUGUUGGAGAGCACGCCACGAGUCAGAGGCGUCCACACCAUCAUCAGGAAUAAAGAAACCAGCAGAGAUGAGUUCAUCUUCUACUCAAAGAGAUUGAUGCGCCUUCUUAUAGAACAUGCACUUACCUUUUUGUCAUCACAGCCUUGCAAGGUUCAGACACCACAGGGCCAUGAGUAUGAGGGACACAGAUUUGGAGGUAAAGGGAUUACUGGUGUGUCCAUUCUGCGGGCAGGAGAGACCAUGGAGCCAGCCCUGAGGGCUGUGUGCAAGGACGUGCGUAUUGGCAAGAUCCUCAUCCAGACCAACCUGGACUCAGGAGAACCCGAGGUAGCUACAUUACCUGCGUCUGCCCAAAGACAUCAGCGAAGAUCAUGUCAUCUUAAUGGACAGCACUGUGUCGACUGGUGCAGCAGCCAUGAUGGCAGUGCGAGUACUUCUGGACCACGAAGUACAGGAGGAGAAAAUCCUGCUGGUGUCGCUGCUGAUGGCAGAGCUCGGUGUGCACUCUGUGGCCUACGCCUUCCCAAAGGUUAAAAUCAUCACCACAGCUGUGGACAAGGACCUUGACGACUCUUUACACGUCAUCCCCGGUAUCGGGGACUUUGGGGACCGCUACUUUGGGACGGAUGGCUCUGACAGAUGGAGUGAUGAAGAGGAUCAAGAACAGCCAUCAUACUGAUGUGCGAAAGACUACUUGAACAUUCUUUUCUUUAUGGCGUAUUGUCAACUCACACUCCUGUACCCUUUGAGGGGGUGAGUUUUGGUGCAUCAUUAACAACUGAGAAUUUUUAAACUAUGGUGCUUAUAGAAAGUGGUGCAAUUACUCUAUGUAAUAACAAUGUUAUGUUUCAAAUGAUGUUAUUCAGGAUUUCACUGCACCAGCUUUUCAUUCAUCAAGUUAUUUGCGGAAAUAUGCUUCUGGUCAAUGAGUUACAAUUACGGGAAAGCAAAUGACCUCAGAAACAUACUUGAUUGCAAAGAACAAAAAAGGAAAGUCAGUUUAGAAACACAAUAGGAGAUAAAAAUAUAUUAAACAAAACUUGCAAUCA